GGUAGUCCACGCCGUAAACGAUGUCAACUAGCCGUUGGAAUCCUUGAGAUUUUAGUGGCGCAGCUAACGCAUUAAGUUGACCGCCUGGGGAGUACGGCCGCAAGGUUAAAACUCAAAUGAACUGACGGGGGCCCGCACAAGCGGUGGAGCAUGUGGUUUAAUUCGAUGCAACGCGAAGAACCUUACCUACUCUUGACAUCCACGGAAUUCGGCAGAGAUGCCUUAGUGCCUUCGGGAACCGUGAGACAGGUGCUGCAUGGCUGUCGUCAGCUCGUGUUGUGAAAUGUUGGGCUAAGUCCCGCAACGAGCGCAACCCUUAUCCUUUGUUGCCAGCGACUCGGUCGGGAACUCAAAGGAGACUGCCGGUGAUAAACCGGAGGAAGGUGGGGAUGACGUCAAGUCAUCAUGGCCCUUACGAGUAGGGCUACACACGUGCUACAAUGGCGCAUACAAAGAGAAGCGACCUCGCGAGAGCAAGCGGACCUCACAAAGUGCGUCGUAGACCGGAUCGGAGUCUGCAACUCGACUCCGUGAAGUCGGAAUCGCUAGUAAUCGUGGAUCAGAAUGCCACGGUGAAUACGUUCCCGGGCCUUGUACACACCGCCCGUCACACCAUGGGAGUGGGUUGCAAAAGAAGUAGGUAGCUUAACCUUCGGGAGGGCGCUUACCACUUUGUGAUUCAUGACUGGGGUGAAGUCGUAACAAGGUAACC
rnacentral:rRNA from 1 species